rnacentral:rRNA from 1 species
UACGGAGGAGGCAAGCGUUAUCCGGAAUUAUUGGGCGUAAAGCGUCCGCAGGUGGCACCUCAAGUCGGCUGUCAAAGACCGGGGCUUAACCCCAGAAAGGCAGUGGAAACUGAAGUGCUAGAGUGCAGUAGGGGUAGAGGGAAUUCCCGGUGUAGCGGUGAAAUGCGUAGAGAUCGGGAAGAACAUCGGUGGCGAAAGCGCUCUGCUGGACUGCAACUGACACUCAGGGACGAAAGCUAGGGGAGCGAAUGGG